GUAGGUGGCAAGCGUUGUCCGGAAUUAUUGGGCGUAAAGCGCGCGCAGGCUGUUCUUUAAGUCUGAUGUGAAAGCCCACGGCUCAACCGUGGAGGGUCAUUGGAAACUGGAGAACUUGAGUACAGAAGAGGAAAGCGGAAUUCCACGUGUAGCGGUGAAAUGCGUAGAGAUGUGGAGGAACACCAGUGGCGAAGGCGGCUUUCUGGUCUGUAACUGACGCUGAGGCGCGAAAGCGUGGGGAGCAAACAGGAUUAGAUACCCUGGUAGUCCACGCCGUAAACGAUGAGUGCUAAGUGUUAGGGGGUUUUCCGCCCCCCUUAGUGCUGCAGCUAACGCAUUAAGCACUCCGCCCUGGGAGUACGGCCGCAAGGCUG
rnacentral:rRNA from 1 species